rnacentral:rRNA from 1 species
UGCGCAGGCGGUUUUGUAAGACAGAUGUGAAAGUUCGGGGCUUAACCCCGGAAUUGCAUUUGAAACUGUAAUACUUGAGUACUGGAGAGGUAAGUGGAAUUCCUAGUGUAGCGGUGAAAUGCGUAGAUAUUAGGAGGAACACCAGUGGCGAAGGCGACUUACUGGACAGAUACUGACGCUGAGGCGCGAAAGCGUGGGGAGCAAACAGGAUUAGAUACCCGUGU